rnacentral:rRNA from 1 species
UCGGGAAUUUUGGGCAAUGGGCGAAAGCCUGACCCAGCAACGCCGCGUGAAGGAUGAAGUCUCUCGGGAUGUAAACUUCGUAAGAAUAGGAAGAAUAAAUGACGGUACUAUUUGUAAGGUCCGGCUAACUACGUGCCAGCAGCCGCGGUAAUACGUAGGGACCAAGCGUUGUUCGGAUUUACUGGGCGUAAAGGGCGCGUAGGCGGCGUGGUAAGUCACUUGUGAAAUCUCCGAGCUUAACUCGGAACGGUCAAGUGAUACUGCUGUGCUAGAGUACAGAAGGGGCAAUCGGAAUUCUUGGUGUAGCGGUGAAAUGCGUAGAUAUCAAGAGGAACACCUGAGGUGAAGACGGGUUGCUGGGCUGAUACUGACGCUGAGGCGCGAAAGCUAGGGUAGCAAACGGGAUUAGAUACCCAAGUAGUCCCUGAGCGGGCUGGCAAGGCGCAU